rnacentral:lncRNA from 1 species
CAGAAAAUCGUAAGUUGAAAAUUUCUCAUACAAAUAUUUAACAAGCUUUUUAACAAUUGAUCUUUGAAGGUAUAUACCAAAGAUCAAAUAAGUUGAUCUUUGAAGGUUGAAUUUGACUAAGUAAACAAAUUAUUUUCUCUAUAUUUUAAAUAGGUAACUAAUAUAAACUGAGGUUUUCAAUAUCAUAAGCAUCUUAGAAACCAAGUUUUGAGAUGUUAUAUAUCGGAGGCUAGUGAAUGCAAAGUUGCAAACGCUUCAUCCUCGUUUUCUCUCACAACUCACAAAAAAAGCAUAAGAGUAAAGUGCGUGCUAAAAAAUGUCAAAUGUCGGACAUCCCUCAAGGUAUGUGUUAUCACUUAUACAGUACAUACUGUGUUUUGAACCAUGCAUCUACUUUGGUCAAGUGACAAGUUCUGUACAUAAUUUGAAUCACGAUGAUCUAGCUUUAUUGCUAGUGUGAAACGUCGAGUAGUAGUUAUGUGGUUUAGAUAUCACCAACAAUCGAAGCAUAUUUCAUGGGUGGGACUUUAUAUGUAUUAGGAUUAAAAGAAGAUUGGAAGUUUCCCCAAAAAAAAAAGAUUGGAUUCACUAAUAAUUUUUUUAGAGGUGUGAUAUCCACACACCCUUUUUUACUUCUCCCACACCUUUUUAGUUUUCGGUCAUCAGAUCGGAAGAAUUGAAGAAGAUCAACGGACAUAAAUUAACAAAGGGUGUCUGAGAAGUAAAAAGAGGUAUGUGGAUUGCACACCCUUUUUUUUAAUAAGAGAUCUUAUGUUUGAUUCUUACCAAAAGCGAAUUUGAACCAUAUUAUUGCUAGCAUAUUGUGAGACUUAGUCCACUUACCCACUUUCUUAGUGUAGACAAUAUUGUUUGUUUAAAAAAAAAAAUCAUUUUUCUUCUGUUGAGAAAUUAGAUAGAGUACAUAGGAUUUAGAUUAAAAGAAUUUCUAAAUAAAACGGACAGUGGUG